AAAGUCGUAACAAGGUUUCCGUAGGUGAACCUUCGGAAGGAUCAUUAAAGAGUUAGGGUCUUCCAGGCCCGACCUCCCAACCCUCUGUCUAUUGAACCUUUGUUGCUUCGGCGGGCCCGUCCCCCCGUGGACCGCCGGAGGACCGCCGCGAGGCGUUCGUCCUCUGGCCCGCGCCCGCCGACGGCCAACCUUCAAAACUCUGAAUCAAUCGUGUCUAUUGUCUGAGUCUUAUGAUUAAAUAAAAGCAAAACUUUCAACAACGGAUCUCUUGGUUCUG
rnacentral:misc_RNA from 1 species